AAAUGCCUAAAAAAGUAUUGCGAGUGCUAUCGGGCUAAAGUUGGAUGCUCUGAUGGAUGCCACUGUGAGGAUUGUGACAAUUCUUUUGGCAAGAAGUCAGAAUCAACGUUCCAGAGAGUGGAAAAACAGCAGAAUCAGUCUCAUGAGAUG